ACGUAGUUAGCCGUGGCUUAUUCAUUCGGUACCGUCAUUUGUUUCGUCCCGAAUAAAAGAAGUUUACAACCCGAGGGCCUUCUUCCUUCACGCGGCGUUGCUGGGUCAGGCUUGCGCCCAUUGCCCAAUAUUCCCCACUGCUGCCUCCCGUAGGAGUCUGGGCCGUGUCUCAGUCCCAAUGUGGCCGGCCAACCUCUCAGUCCGGCUACUGAUCGUCGACUUGGUGGGCCGUUACCCCGCCAACUAUCUAAUCAGACGCGAGGCCAUCUUAGAGCGAUAAAUCUUUGGCAACCAAAGCCAUGCGACUUAGUUGCAUUAUGCGGUAUUAGCAGCUAUUUCUAACUGUUAUUCCCCACUCCAAGGCAGGUUCCUCACGCGUUACUCACCCGUCCGCCACUAGGUAUUCCUAUCAAUUGGCCGAAGCCUCUGUCAAGGGUACCCCGUUCGACUUGCAUGUGUUAAGCACGCCGCCAGCGUUCAUCCUGAGCCAGGAUCAAACUCU
rnacentral:rRNA from 1 species